UUGGGGUGGCGGAUGGCCGCCGGCAGCAAUGCUGGAGGAAAGUCCGGGCACCGCAGGGCAGGAUGCUGGAUAACGUCCAGGCGUGGAAACACGACAGAAAGUGCAACAGAAAGUAAACCGCCUCGUAGGGUUUCGGCUCUGCGCGGUAAGGGUGAAAUGGCGAGGUAAGAGCUCACCGCGCUCUUGGUGACAGGAGUGGCACGGUAAACCUCAUCCGGUGCAAGACCAAGCAGAAUUCCGUUCACGCAAGUGAACCUGGAGCGGCCCGCGCCAGCUGGAAUUCGGGUAGGUUGCUUGAGGCGGUCGGUAACGAUUCGUCCAGAGAGAUGGUCAUCGCCUUCGCGAGAAGGAACAAAACCCGGCUUACAACCGCCCCUUAUCU
rfam:Fibrobacter sp. TWH4 genome assembly, contig: Ga0136283_102